AACGAACGCUGGCGGCAGGCCUAACACAUGCAAGUCGAACGGGCUCUUCGGAGCUAGUGGCGGACGGGUGAGUAACACGUGGGAACGUGCCUUUAGGUUCGGAAUAAGCCCGGGAAACUGGGUCUAAUACCGAAUGUGCCCUUCGGGGGAAAGAUUUAUCGCCUUUAGAGCGGCCCGCGUCUGAUUAGCUUGUUGGUGAGGUAAUGGCUCACCAAGGCGACGAUCAGUAGCUGGUCUGAGAGGAUGACCAGCCACAUUGGGACUGAGACACGGCCCAAACUCCUACGGGAGGCAGCAGUGGGGAAUCUUGCGCAAUGGGCGAAAGCCUGACGCAGCCAUGCCGCGUGGAUGAUGAAGGUCUUAGGAUUGUAAAAUCCUUUCACCGGUGAAGAUAAUGACUGUAGCCGGAGAAGAAGCCCCGGCUAACUUCGUGCCAGCAGCCGCGGUAACAC
rnacentral:rRNA from 1 species